ACGGGAGGCAGCAGUGGGGGAUAUUGCACAAUGGGGGAAACCCUGAUGCAGCGACGCCGCGUGAGUGAUGAAGUAUUUCGGUAUGUAAAGCUCUAUCAGCAGGGAAGAAAAUGACGGUACCUGACUAAGAAGCUCCGGCUAAAUACGUGCCAGCAGCCGCGGUAAUACGUAUGGAGCAAGCGUUAUCCGGAUUUACUGGGUGUAAAGGGUGCGUAGGCGGCAUGGCAAGUCAGAUGUGAAAGACCGGGGCUCAACCCCGGGGCUGCAUUUGAAACUGCCAGGCUGGAGUACAGGAGAGGCAGGCGGAAUUCCUAGUGUAGCGGUGAAAUGCGUAGAUAUUGGGAGGAACACCGGUGGCGAAGGCGACUUUCUGGACUGUAACUGACACUGAGGUACGAAAGCGUGGGGAGCAAACAGGAUUAGAUACCCUGGUA
rnacentral:rRNA from 1 species